rnacentral:rRNA from 1 species
GAUGAACGCUGGCGGCGUGCCUAAUACAUGCAAGUCGAGCGAACGGACGAGAAGCUCGCUUCUCUGAUGUUAGCGGCGGACGGGUGAGUAACACGUGGAUAACCUACCUAUAAGACUGGGAUAACUUCGGGAAACCGGAGCUAAUACCGGAUGAUAUUUUGAACCGCAUGGUUCAACAGUGAAAGACGGUCUUGCUGUCACUUAUAGAUGGAUCCGCGCUGCAUUAGCUAGUUGGUAAGGUAACGGCUUACCAAGGCAACGAUGCAUAGCCGACCUGAGAGGGUGAUCGGCCACACUGGAACUGAGACACGGUCCAGACUCCUACGAGAGACAGCAGGAGGGAAUCUUCCGCAAUGGGCGUAAGCCUGACGGAGCAACGCCGCGUGAGUGAUGAAGGUCUUCGGAUCGUAAAACACUGUUAUUAGGGAAGAACAUAUGCGUAAGUAACUGUGCACAUCUUGACGGUACCUAAUCAGAAAGCCACGGCUAACUACGUG